rfam:Canis lupus familiaris chromosome 1, whole genome shotgun sequence.
GCCUGAGUGGCUCAGUGGUUGAGCACCUGCCUUUGGCUCAGGUCAUGAUCUCAGAGUCCCAGGAUCAAAUCCUACAUCGGGCU